CUGAGAAGGCGGGCCUUGAUCCCGCAAAAAUUAGUUAACAGCUAAUUACCCUAACCAGCGGGCUUCUACUCG
rnacentral:tRNA from 1 species